UUUAACUUGUGCUGUCAUUGCCCAAACUUGGGAGCCCCUACCCCCUAGAGGAUCUCUGCGGACCCUGGGACUAGAGGAAAUGAGCAGAGACAGCUCUUCCCCACCUUGUGCGUACAUGUUCACCAGGCAGCCUGUCUGCAAGAGUGUUCUGGUCAGCUUGAAGUCUUUCAGCGGAACUAUUAAAAAGGCGUUCACCGGUCCUUGAUGGGGCUCAGAUAUACCCACCCUGAUGCCCUACCUCAGAGAAGAAUGCUUCAUCCACAUCCCGGAAUAGAGGCGAUCACUGACCCCAACUUGCUGUCCACUUCUUUCUGAGCAUGAGGACAAGGGAGCCAUCCCAGGAAGGUCCUGUCCUAAGGGUGCUUUCUGCUAGCAAGAUAUUGUCACAAAAAGAGCUGCAGAAUUGGGGAUUUCUUUUGAGUGAGACCAAAAUACAUUUCAAGCUCAUUUUCUGAGGCCGUAAGACCCUUUUUGAGAAGCCUUGUAGAAGCUGUCCACGUCAUGGAGUUUAUCUAACCCAGAUUCCGGGAUUGUUGACUGUCCACUCAUCACCAUUCUUAGCAAAACUCCCAAGGACAAAAAAACAAGCCAGAUAAACACUGCUAGGAAGCAAACCAAAUAUGCCGUACCACACAAGGCAGCAUUCAUGCCCACCACACGUCAGGCGGGAUGCCUAGAGACCAUCACCCCAUGGUUCCCUGGGAGAUUUGACAACCUCAGAAUGACACCCCCACUUAGAAUACAGCAGGGCCCACUGAAGUUUCCACGUGAUCCCACUGGGAGACCUGGAUGUGCUUUGGAACGCGUCCUCCCAGAGGUGAGGUUCCAACAUCUGGACCAAUUGAGAGAAGAAGGAAGAAUCCUGCUUUCUAAAACCUCCUGGCACUGACCAUUCAUUAUUUCAUCACGAGGCUGGGUUGUAGGCUCCAGAAGUAGAAGAGACCUUUCUGGGCACCUCAUCCGUGGGUCUGCCGGGCAGCGAUGAGCACACUGUGGGCUCAGCAUGGACCAACACAGUCCUAGCUAAAGGUUGAACGAUGGCCCUGAAGGACAUCUAGGUCCUAACGCCUGGAAUUUGACAGUGUUACUUUAUACGACAAGAGAUUUUGUAUGUGUGAUUAAGGUAAGGAUCGUGAGAUGGGGAGAUUAUCCUGAAUUACCCAGGUAUGCCUUAAGUAUCAUCACAGGUAUCCUUGUAAGAGGGAGGCAGAGAGGGAUUUGACACAGAAAAGGAAGGCAAUGAAUGUGACAACUGAAGCAGGAUGCUGCGCUGCUGGCUUUGAAGAUGGAGGAAGGGACCACAAGCCAGGAAUGCAGCUCCAGGGCUGGAAAAGGCACAGUCACAGAUUCUCCCUGGAGCCUCUGGGUAGAGCGCGGUUCUGCUGACACCUUGACUUCAGCCCGGGGAAACUGAUUACAGACUCCGAGCUCCAGGACUGUAAGAGAGUGAAAGCAUGUUCUUUUAAACCAUCAAUUUUGUGGUAGCUGUGACGGCAGCCAUAGGCAACUAGUACAAUCAUGUAAGUUUAUUUCCUUUGCAUUGUUUCAUUUUUAAAAAUUGGCACCUGAGCUGACAUCUGUU